rnacentral:rRNA from 1 species
UUGAGYUUGAUCYUGGCUCAGAUUGAACGCUGGCGGCAGGCCUAACACAUGCAAGUCGAGCGGUAACAGGAAGGAAGCUUGCUUUCUUUGCUGACGAGCGGCGGACGGGUGAGUAAUGCCUGGGAAAUUGCCCUGAUGUGGGGGAUAACCAUUGGAAACGAUGGCUAAUACCGCAUGAUACCUUCGGSYCAAAGAGGGGGACCUUCGGGCCUCUCGCGUCAGGAUAUGCCCAGGUGGGAUUAGCUAGUUGGUGAGGUAAUGGCUCACCAAGGCGACGAUCCCUAGCUGGUCUGAGAGGAUGAUCAGCCACACUGGAACUGAGACACGGUCCAGACUCCUACGGGAGGCAGCAGUGGGGAAUAUUGCACAAUGGGCGCAAGCCUGAUGCAGCCAUGCCGCGUGUAUGAAGAAGGCCUUCGGGUUGUAAAGUACUUUCAGUGGUGAGGAAGGGGGUGUGGUUAAUAGCCAUAUUCUUUGAACGU